UACGGAGGAUGCAAGCGUUAUCCGGAAUCAUUGGGCGUAAAGGGUCCUGAGGUGGUUUGGCAAGUCUACUGUGAAAGAUCAGGGCUCAACCCUGAAAAUGCGGUGGAAACUAGCUGGCUAGAAUACGGUAGGGGCAGGGGGAAUUUCCGGUGGAGCGGUGAAAUGCGUAGAGAUCGGAAAGAACACCAACGGCGAAAGCACUCUGCUGGGCCGACACUGACACUGAGAGACGAAAGCUAGGGGAGCGAAUGGG
rnacentral:rRNA from 1 species